GGUCUUACUAAUAAAAAAUCACUAUACAUGCGUUAUGACAAGGUGAUAGUAAUUCAGUGAAUAGAGCUUGUACAGGGCAUAAACUCCUCUUUGACCAAUAAUCGAUGUGUAUUGGUUGAAUAACAAAACGACCCUUAUUUAUUGUUACCCUGGCAACCCGCCGUGUUUGAUUGACGUUUGAUUUAAUAAUUUUGAUACGACUCAUAAUUCUAAUGUAAGUUGUAUUUAUUUUAUCAACCAAAGCAAUUAUAUACACAUUUACUCAAUAUACUAAUAACAUUUUAUUAUUUGCAGCUAAUAGAAACUCCAAAACCUCAGACAAAGAGGACUAGAAUUUUACAUAAAAAGCCGCGUUCUGCAGUACAAAAGUUAGAAGAGGCAUCUCAAAUAGUGGAAAGUGCCAAACUCCGCAACACGGUAGUGUUCCAGUGUUUCCAGGAAGAGCACGAAACAAAACAAAGGCAGAUGGCUGAAACACAUGAGCUCAAACAGAAGCGACUCGCCGAAGCUCACGAAAGGGCUAGACAGAAGCAUCUUCUAAGGCUCAAAUUGUUACAGCAGCAAUUAAAUAAAUAAUUAUAUACUUAUAAAAAAAAUAAAACCCCCGUUUUAAAUGAAA